GAGACAGCGACAGUUAAUUUUUCAAACUGAGGAGUCCGCCAUUUCUGCCCGUCCAUACCCUCAGUGUUAAUUAAAUUGUCAACAACAAUAAGACAGUUGUGUUAUAAGGAGACGAGCUUCGAGACAGAAGCGUGAAUUUUAAUUUCAAUGAAGCGCGCGCGCUGUUCGCUAAUGGUAAGUUAACGAUAGGCACCGAUUCAAAUAAAAGUGAGUCAGGUGGAAGGCGGAGGGUAUGAUAUGUGACUUCCACACAUACUCAGUUUGCGGUGAGUAUUUUUCUCAGGCCUAUGUUAACAGGUGUAGUUCAACAAGUUCUUAACUUUUGUGCAAUUUUUAGCUCCAACAUUGACUGUUACUUUUCAGUAUUGUAUUUCAUUACAGGUAAAUGUCAAACUUGUUGGUUGUUGGGUACUGAAAUAAUACAUUUUAUUAUAUUUCUUAGGUACCCAAAUCAUAAAAUGUAUGGAGAUGUUCUGGGGAGUUUGAUCGCCCGCUUUCCAUUUUUGAAGGAUGACAGCUCCUCUGGUUAUGAUACCUUGUUGGAAUGCCUUUAAAAGAGAAAGGAUUUCCUUGGUUAGCUCAUCAAUCGUCCUGCAAAUGAAGGAGAAGUAUGGGAUCAAAAGGAAGUGUGCUGGACAAACAGACUCUGAGAGAUUUAGUCGACAACAAAAGGCAAUUUCACAUACCGAUUUCAGUUGAUUUCUCAAAAUGACUUAAAAUAACUUCUAAAAUCACAUUUGAUCUAAGAUCUAAUUAAAUCUACAUCCAAAGUGACUUUAAUUUUAUUAUUUAUUUUAAUUUUCAUAUUGUUGUUUAUUUGUUCUUGGAAGCUCUGAAGUAAAAAAGUAAUUUCUAAUUUUAAUGUGAAUCACAGUGUAUUCUGUCAAAUAAAAUAUGUAAAUAUUUUAUGUAAAUACCUACACCGAUCAGGCAUAACAUUAUGACAGGUGAAAUGAAUAAGACUGAUGAUCUCCUCAUCAUGGCACCUGUUAGUGGGUGGGAUAUAUUAGGCAGCAAGUGAACAUCCUGUCUUCAAAGUUGAUGUGUUAGAAGCAGGAAAAAUGGACAAGCGUAAAGAUUUGAGCAAGUUUGACAAGGGACAAAUUGUAAUGGCUAGACCACUGGAUCAGCUCUUGUGGGGUGUUCCCGGUCUGCAGUGGUCAGUAUCUAUCAAAGGUGGCCCAAGAAAGGAACAGUGGUGAACUGGUGACAGGGUCAUGGACUGCCAAUGCUCAUUAAUGCACAUGGGGAGCAAAGCCUGGCCCGUGUGGUCCAAUCCAACAGACGAUCUACUGUUGCUCAAAUUGCUGAAGAAAUUAAUGCUGGUUCUGGCAGAAAUGUGUCAGAAUACACAGUGCAUCACAGUUUGUUGCAUAUGGGGCUGCUGACCCCUAUGCACUGCUGAAAGUGCCAACAAUGGGCAGAUGAGCAUCAGAACUGGACCAGGGAGCAAUGGAAGAAGGUGGCCUGGUCUAAUGAAUCACGUUUUCUUUCCAAUCACAUGGAUGGCCGGGUGCGUGUGCGUCACUUACCUGGGGAACACAUGCCACCAGGAUGCACCACAGUGGAGGCAAGGUCAUGCUUUGGGCAAUGUUCUGCUGGGAAACCUUGGAUCCUGCCAUCUAUGUGGAUGUUAGUUUGACACGUACCACUUACAGGACUUAAAGGAUCUGCUGCUAACAUCAUGGUGUCAGAUACCACAGCACACCUUCAGGGAUCUACUGGAGUCCAUGCCUCGACAGUUCAGGGCUGUUCUGGCAGCAAAAGGGGGACCAACACAAUAUUAGGCAGGUGGCCAUAAUGUUAUGCCUGGUCAGUGUAUAUUUAUUUUAAUACCUAGAUUUAAUUUUAUAUAACCAUUUUAUAUUAAACUGCUUCAUUUUUUGUGUGUCAUUUCUACACAUUAAUCAGUGUUGGAAUCUUGGAUAAAAUCAGUAUGGAGAAGAGUUGUGUAUAUUAAUUUGAGCAGAAUUAAUAAAAUUCACUGG